GGAAGAUGAUGAAUGCAAUUUGGUCCGUGUUUAUGAUUCACCCUGAUUUUCAGAAAUUGCACUAUUUUUCUGAUUCC